UUUCCGUAGGUGAACCUGCGGAAGGAUCAUUAUUGUAUAACCGAGGUGCGGGGCCUUUCGCUUACCCGACGCCUCUUGCACGCGCGAAUGCCCGCCCACACAUCCCGCUAACACCUAUGUCCACCACCGCGUAGGUCCAACUUUGGCUUGUUAGGAGAGGGUCUUACGAUUUUACGAAAACUUUGAAUACAGUAUGGAAUGUAUUUUUUGUUUUUGCGAUAACGAAAACAAUGCAACAUUCCACGACCGAACUCUUGGCUCUCACGUCGAUGAAGAACG
rnacentral:misc_RNA from 1 species